GUGCUUGCUUCGGCAGCACAUAUACUAAAAUUGGAAUGAUACAGAGAAGAUUAGCAUGGCUCCUGCACAGGGAUGACACUUAUUGUUCCACCCCAAGACUGUCUU
ensembl:snRNA U6 U6 spliceosomal RNA